UCGUUCAAUUGCUGGAUAAGAUGAGCUG
rnacentral:sRNA from 1 species